UACGGAGGGGGCUAGCGUUGUUCGGAAUUACUGGGCGUAAAGCGCGCGUAGGCGGCUUUGUAAGUUAGAGGUGAAAGCCCGGAGCUCAACUUCGGAAUUGCCUUUAAGACUGCAUCGCUUGAAUCAUGGAGAGGUCAGUGGAAUUCCGAGUGUAGAGGUGAAACUCGUAGAUAUUCGGAAGAACACCAGUGGCGAAGGCGACUGACUGGACAUGUAUUGACGCUGAGGUGCGAAAGCGUGGGGAGCAAACAGG
rnacentral:rRNA from 1 species